AUGAAUUCACAGAGGCGGCGGAAACCCAGUGCGGGCAGAACGAACAAAACAGAGCGCCUGUUGAGAAGCACCCAGACAAUGGCCCCCACAUCCUGGAAAGCCGCUGCAGAAAUCGCUGAGCAUGGAGGACAAACUGCUGUUGAUGAGGCAAAAAAGAGCAUUUUCUGCAGGGGUUACGAGCUCAUCUCCGUGAAACACUGCUGCUGCCACACAUGCGCUCGCCUCAUUACCAUCACUGGCCCUGAGAGAGGGCCCACACCCGCUGCAUAUCCCCGCUGCUCAGAACCGUCUUACAUGGGCUCCUGAUUCCCAUAAUACUGGACUGAAUGGCCUUGAUGGGCUAACAUAUUCUCAUCGGUGAAUCUCAACCAAGGUGGUUUCAGCAAAAAAAAUUUAAAUUCCAUUUCAUUUUAUUUCUUGACUGUUGAAUACACUAUGAUUCUGUUGGAAUGAAAAGUGGCAUAUAAAUAAAAUGCAGGUGAUGUAUAAUACUACUAAUAAUAACAACCGCAAACAUCAAGACGUGGCAUUGACUUCAUUGCGGCAGUGUCUUGUGUGGGCCUAACACUUUCCUGGUGGGAAAAGCGUAAGUGUUGAAAUAGCAUUGCUCAAUGCAUGUAGUUAGUGAUAAACGAAUGACUAAUACCGAAUAACAUCGGCUAAGGAACAUCAAGACAGCGAAGACAAUGUUGGAGAUUACAAUCAUGCUUUUCUCUGAAAAAUGCAGUUCAUUUACUUGUUUGUGCACACAUUAUUACUGUUUUAGAAGAAUCAAAGCCUCCUAGUUACGCAUCACAUGCAGAACUGUGUGUUCAGGAACACUGAGGAGAGCUGCUGUAAUCUCUGUCACGCAUCUGAAGGCAUGGCCAGGCUGUGUACAUGAAAACAGCUGCUGUGGAGGUGGAGCAAAUCAGAUGCUGUUCACAUGUAGGCUAAGCUGCUCAUCAUUAUCAGAUGAGUAACAGGCAUAGGGGGAGAAGAGGUGUGUGUUUCAGCUGCCGGGAUCAAACGCCAUCGCACCCAUCUCCCCCGAUGACGAAUGUUAUGGAUGCAUGGGUAUGCGUGGCCAUUAUGGCUUGUCUGUCUUUUUUCGUCAUCAGAGAAAUUGGAAUCGAUGUGGUCCAGUAAAAACCUCAGAAAAGCAUGAACUGAAACAAUGAGGUGUUGAAUGCAAUGCUGUUGUUACCAUGUCUUUUUGUUCUUUUUCUGAGACAAAACUGAAUUGUUCUUCUGAAUUAGUUUAUUACUUAUAAAUAGUGGGGUCAUAUAAAAUCACCAAUAAUGGUGAAAAAUGGUAAUAUAUCACUUAGUUUCGCUAAGUGCCAAGUAUAUGUACUGUUUUGUGUUCCACGAUUUGGAGUACAUUUUCCAAAGAGAACCAGAUUGUGAGAAUUACUGUUCCUUUCCCUGUCAAUACAAAUUCAAUGCAUGUGGCCAAUAUGUGGUUGUUUUCUGUUACCACUGAGCGUUUAUUUGCAGACUGCUCAUUUAAGCACAAAAUGUUUUCCUUUCUGGCUUAAAGUGAUGUUCACCUUGGCCACUAUGGUGCUUAAGUAGUGGUAAAAUAGGCAAGUGUCAUACAGCUAGUGUCCUAUUUAUACUAAUUUUGACAUGGUGCAAGACAGUAUAGAAAAUAAACAAAAUAAACAUUUCUAACACCCACCUGCAUCUCUUAUCCUGCUGGUGGUCUUUAACUGUACCAGGAUA